rnacentral:misc_RNA from 1 species
CGUGUGUGUGUGUGUGUGUGUCUUUGUGGCAUUUUUCGACCAUUAAGAUUUAACCCUAUCAGUUUUGAUGCUAUGGAAGCUUAUGACGAAUUUGGCCUAGUUACUCCAAUGCUGUGUCAUUUCUUUGUCCCUUUUCUGCCAUUGAUUGAUAUGUCACAUUCUGGCAUUAGGAAAGUUAGGUGCAACCCAUCUAAUCCAUGAUUUUGAUCUCUAUGUUAAAUACUAUACAUGUGGACAUUCCACUAGAAAUGUUUUUCUGAGUUUCAGUUGUGGUAGAUUAUAACCUGCUUCCUCUAUACACCUUUAUUCCUAUUUUAUCUAAUUGCAAUUGCAUUUUCCAAGUGUGUGACUUUCUUCAUGUUCUUAUUCUCAAAAUUUCAUCCUGAGCUGCAAGUAGCACAAGGAAAUAAGAUUUGCCUGUUAUUUAUUAAACACAAUGCUAACAAAACUUCAGCAUCAUUAACUCUGAAGAAAUGGGCUAUGAGGUCUGCUUGUGCUCCAUUUGUCUAAAAGCUAGUAUACUGGUAUCAUUCGGUCACUAGCAAAUUAGGGUACAUGUUUGGCUGGCUUCCACAUAUAGACUGGCUGGAAUUGAGUUCAUUAUUUUCAUACUAUUUGCUUUUGCUGUUAAUAUUUCUUCAUCUGGAUACGAGUUAAGAUCAUGGACUGCAUCAUCUUGUUCUCCUGGCUAAUAUAUCUUUCUUCGCAGUUUAUUAUCUCAUCUGCUUGAGAUAUUUUUGCAAAGUAAUGGUAAUCUUUGAGCUGCUGCUCACAUUUGUUCCUUUUUCCACAG